rnacentral:rRNA from 1 species
GACGAACGCUGGCGGCGUGCUUAACACAUGCAAGUCGAACGGAAAGGCCCUGCUUGCAGGGUGCUCGAGUGGCGAACGGGUGAGUAACACGUGGGUGAUCUGCCCCUUACUUUGGGAUAAGCCGGGGAAACUGGGUCUAAUACUGGAUAGGACCAUGCUGUAGGUGGUGUGGUGGAAAGAUUAGUUUCGGUAAGGGAUGAGCUCGCGGCCUAUCAGCUUGUUGGUGGGGUAAUGGCCUACCAAGGCGUCGACGGGUAGCCGGCCUGAGAGGGUGGACGGCCACAUUGGGACUGAGAUACGGCCCAGACGCCUACGGGAGGCAGCAGUGGGGAAUAUUGCACAAUGGGCGCAAGCCUGAUGCAGCGACGCCGCGUGGGGGAUGACGGCCUUCGGGUUGUAAACUCCUUUCAGCCAUGACGAAGCCCUUGUGGUGACGGUAGUGGUAGAAGAAGCACCGGCUAACUACGUG